rnacentral:rRNA from 1 species
GACGAACGCUGGCGGCGUGCUUAACACAUGCAAGUCGAACGGAAAGGCCCCUUUGGGGGUCCUCGAGUGGCGAACGGGUGAGUAACACGUGAGUAACCUGCCCUUGACUUCGGGAUAACUUCAGGAAACUGGGGCUAAUACCGGAUAGGAAUCCUUGCUGCAUGGUGGGGGUUGGAAAGCUUCGGCGGUUUUGGAUGGACUCGCGGCUUAUCGGCUUGUUGGUGGGGUAGUGGCUUACCAAGGCUUUGACGGGUAGCCGGCCUGAGAGGGCGACCGGCCACAUUGGGACUGAGAGACGGCCCAGACUCCGACGGGAGGCAGCAGUGGGGAAUAUUGCACAAGGGGCGGAAGCCUGAUGCAGCAACGCCGCGUGCGGGAUGACGGCCUUCGGGUUGUAAACCGCUUUCAGCAGGGGCGAAGCUUGUGGUGACGGUACCUGCAGAAGAAGCACCGGCUAACUACGUG